GGUUGUGGCUCAGUGGUAGAGCACUUGCCUGUCACGUGGGAGGCACUGAGUUGGAUCCUCAGCAUCA
rnacentral:tRNA from 1 species